UACCUGGCGGUCUAGUGGAUAACAUGCAGUGCUCUCAUCGCCCUGGUCCAGGUUCUAUUCCUGGUCAAGGAG